UACGAAGGGGGCUAGCGUUGUUCGGAAUCACUGGGCGUAAAGGGCGCGUAGGCGGCCGAUCAAGUCGGGGGUGAAAGCCUGUGGCUCAACCACAGAAUUGCCUUCGAUACUGUUUGGCUUGAGACCGGAAGAGGUUAGUGGAACUGCGAGUGUAGAGGUGAAAUUCGUAGAUAUUCGCAAGAACACCAGUGGCGAAGGCGGCUGACUGGUCCGGUUCUGACGCUGAGGCGCGGAAAAGCGUGGGGGAGCAAACAGG
rnacentral:rRNA from 1 species